UAGAGAGAGAGGAAGAGAUCAACUGUCGGUUGUCGGCGGUUUGCGCUUCGGUGGCGGCUCAGGCUUUGGUUCGGGUUUGGGUUCUGGUUUAGGCAUCGGUUCAGGCUUGGGCUCGGGUUUUGGUUCAGGUUUAGGCAUGGGCUUAGGCAUGGGCUCAGGCUUUGGUUCUGGUUUAGGCAUUGGCUUAGGCUUGGGUUCGGGUUUUGGCUCUGGUUUGGGCAUUGGCUCAGGCUUGGGUUCUGGUUUAGGCAUGGGCUCAGGCUUUGGUUCCGGUUUAAUUGGCUCAGGCUUCGGUUCCGGCUUAGGCAUUGGCUCGGGCUUGGGCUCAGGUUUUGGCUCAGGUUUAGGCAUUGGCUCGGGUUUGGGCUCAGGUUUAGGCUCAGGUUUAGGCACUGGCUCAGGCUUAGGCUCGGGUUUAGGCUCAGGUUUAGGCACUGGCUUAGGCAUGGGCUCGGGUUUUGGUUCCGGUUUAGGCAUUGGCUCAGGUUUGGGCUCGGGUUUAGGCUCGGGUUUAGGCAUUGGCUUAGGCAUGGGCUCGGGUUUUGGUUCCGGUUUGGGCAUGGGCUCUGGUUUUGGCUCGGGUUUUGGCAUUGGCUUAGGCAUGGGCUCUGGUUUUGGUUCCGGUUUAGGCAUCGGCUCAGGUUUCGGCUCUGGUUUAGGCAUUGGUUUGGGCAUUGGUUCCGGCUUGGGCUCUGGCUUCGGCUCGGGCUUGGGCAUGGGUUCAGGUUUGGGCUCAGGUUUCGGUCCCGGUUUGGGCAUUGGUUCUGGCUUCGGCUCAGGUUUCGGUUCAGGUUUAGGCAUGGGUUCAGGUUUCGGUUCAGGUUUUGGCUCUGGUUUUGGCAUGGGCUUGGGCUCCGGUUUUGGCAUGGGUUUUGGUUCCGGCUUUGGCUCUGGCUGCGGCAUAGGCUUAGGCUCCGGCUCGACGCCGGCAAGGCCUCGGCCAGCAGCGGCCGCUUGUUGGAAGGCGGACGCUGCAACCACCGCGACAAGGAGCGCGGCAAGAAGGCCGCCGCCCCCGGCAGAGAGGCGAUGCCUCGCCAUUGCUGCCUUUUUCUUGCGCUCGCAGUGCGAACUGUGCACUUGCGCUUCUCUGCUACCUCUG
rnacentral:lncRNA from 1 species